rnacentral:lncRNA from 1 species
UCUGUAGCAACACAAAGUGAGGCAGCGCUUAACACUCUUACCUUGUCCAAGUUCAACACAGUGCUCUGUUAGUGUUUCAAAAUAUGAUUGAUGGUGUGGGUAUAUGGCUGGGACAGGUCAAACUGCCUUUCUGGUGAUGGGAUGGAGCAGAUUGUGUGGACUUGGAACCAUCUCUGGCAUUGCCUAUCUCACUGCAAGAGUAUGCAAAAGCUUCAAGGUGUACAAUUUGCCCAAGAAAAGGGCUAAAUACUCAUUGGCUGGUGUGUAUCCACCAUGUCUGGUAGCUAAACCAGCUUGUAAUGGGAUGUGGAUGCCUUAUAGCACAGCCACAGGUCAUGUGACAGCACCUACCCAGGUGGGAGAAGAUAGAAGGUGCCAAGAGGUGGUGGGUUCUGCAGCUGGUGUGCAGGGCCAAGAGGAGCAACGGAGAUCUGAGCCUGUAGAUGUGAUAGAUCCCAAAGGAGCCGUGCGAAGGAGCCCGUGCUGCUGGAGGACUGCACCUUGCCAAAUCGUCUUGGCAGCCGCAUCCAUGCAGCCCAUCCAAGAGGGGGCAUUUUAUGGAAUGAAAUAUCUAACAGGAGUAUUGAAUCGAUCAUUGCUGAUGGUCUGGCAAAUCUGGCCUGCUGGGUUUUCCAGAAUGUUAUGGUCACAAAUCUUCCUAACUCUCAAGUCUGAUUGCAGUGUUUAUUUAAAACACUCCUCCUUUUAG